GUAACAAGGUUUCCGUAGGUGAACCUGCGGAAGGAUCAUUACAGUAUUCUUUUGCCAGCGCUUAACUGCGCGGCGAAAAACCUUACACACAGUGUCUUUUUGAUACAGAACUCUUGCUUUGGUUUGGCCUAGAGAUAGGUUGGGCCAGAGGUUUAACAAAACACAAUUUAAUUAUUUUUACAGUUAGUCAAAUUUUGAAUUAAUCUUCAAAACUUUCAACAACGGAUCUCUUGGUUCUCGCAUCGAUGAAGAACGCAGCGAAAUGCGAUAAGUAAUAUGAAUUGCAGAUUUUCGUGAAUCAUCGAAUCUUUGAACGCACAUUGCGCCCUCUGGUAUUCCAGAGGGCAUGCCUGUUUGAGCGUCAUUUCUCUCUCAAACCCCCGGGUUUGGUAUUGAGUGAUACUCUUAGUCGGACUAGGCGUUUGCUUGAAAAGUAUUGGCAUGGGUAGUACUAGAUAGUGCUGUCGACCUCUCAAUGUAUUAGGUUUAUCCAACUCGUUGAAUGGUGUGGCGGGAUAUUUCUGGUAUUGUUGGCCCGGCCUUACAACAACCAAACAAGUUUGACCUCAAAUCAGGUAGGAAUACCCGCUGAACCUAAGCAUAU
rnacentral:misc_RNA from 1 species